UCAGCACUGGAGGUGAGGUUCUGUGUAUCCAGGGCUGGAGGAAGCUGGAGGAACUCUGUAGAAGGGGAGGUUUCGCUUCCGGGUGGGACGGUCGUCACGUGAGGGUGUCCUUAGUGCCGCCUGGUGAAAACGCCCAGGACUGCAGGGUCCCUGCACCCAGAACUUGAUGGGGCGUCUGCGGGCAACUUUGCUUUUGCGUGGAACGUCUGAACGUAUUUACAAUCCACACCCGGUCUGCCCAGUUAGGGGACCAUAUUUCCCUUUAAAUGCUGAAAACAGCGCAGGAGUUGAUGUGUACUGUAUGCAUAAACCGCACGCUGGAUAGCUAAGACUGAUAAGCAAGUCUUGACAUCUUGAGGAGUUUCCACUCUCUGAGAAGGAAAAGGCUGCAGUCCACAGAGGAAGCUGGAGGUGAAUGGCAGAGACAGAGGCUGGUUACAUAGUGGCUUUGGCUUCCUGUCUGCCUGUCAGAGCGGGAGGAGGUGGAUCUUGUGGUGCCUUACAUCUGUGUCACUUCAUUUGUAAGAAGAUGGCUGGAAUGGUGAAGAGCACACAGGUAAAUCACUGCUCCCACCCCCCCCAUGCUUCCAGAAAACCAGCUCAUCAAGAUCUUUCUACCCACCUGGAGCCAGAACUGUUUCUGGAAAUAUCUAAAUUCUUCUACUGAUGCCAAAACAAUGAGGCCAGCCUUUGUCUUUUAGAAACCAGUAGAGGAUUGAGAGGGGAGAUGCCAUGCAUGCUCUCUGCCACAACCUCCCCUGCUGUCCAUCUUCAUAGCCUCUCUAUGCCUACUGGCCUCUCAGGUCUUAUGGGUAUCUUAUGAUGGUCUUCAUCCUAUAAUUCUUGGAGGCCCCUCUCCAUCUGAACAUCCACUCCCAUCCGAAACACGUACAACCUGAAAGAGAAGCCUAAGAGUCUGCAGGUGCACUGUCUUCACCGGGUGGAGGGUGGGGGAGGAUACAUCGCUCUCUGCCUGAUCACAAGGAUGGGUGAAUACUGCAGAUAAAUAAUUCUAAGGGCUUUUACAGAAGCUUCCACAGAGAGGAUGGUCCUGUCACUGCUUUGGGCUUCACAAGAAAGAAACACCUUUCUUCCUUCUGUGCCAGUGACUCAUGCCUCUAACCUCACCCUCAAGUCAAGGAUAACUGGGCUACGAGAGUUAGAGGGGCUUACAACCUGGCAUGCAAGGGAGAGGCGGGUGACUCUGUGGGAUGGAUGUGUUCCUGCAGGAGUGGGGGCUUCAGAUUCUACUCCAAGGACCAAGCUGUCAGGGGCAGUGGAAGGGAGAGGAGCUGUGAUACCCGCCCAGGUGGGGUGGCAUUUUGUGUGUUGCCAUCAAAUAUAUGGAAGCCACAAGUCACUCUGUCAACAUUUUGACAAACCAGUUCCCCAUCUUCUGGAAAAAUCAAACUCUUGUUUUCCUGCUGCCUUCGCAAUGAGGAAACAGGCAACAUUUUGGCUAAAAGUUUAUAAACAAAAGCACAUAUUUUCUGGUCACAGUUCUUCCAGGUCCUGAUUGAUCUGAAUUUCCCACAGGGGUGAGUAGGACCCACCUGCGAUUUGCUUUUAGCUCUAUCCAUAUGUGGAAGGUUUUUUUUUUUUUAAUCUUUAGCAGAAUGACUUUAUUUAUAAGCAAGCAUCUUGUAUAACAGUUUUAUGUGUCAAUUUGGCUAGACUAUAAUACCCAGUUUUCAGUUCAGCACUAAUCCAGGUGUUGCUGUGAAGUUUCAAUUAAAUGCUAAUCCAGGUGUUGCUGUCAAGUAGCUGGGAUUACAGGAACCUGCCACCAUGCCCGGCUAAUUUUU